AUACGGAGGGUGCAAGCGUUGUUCGGAAUUACUGGGCGUAAAGCGCGCGUAGGCGGUUUGUUAUGUCAGAUGUGAAAGUCCACGGCUCAACCGUGGAAGUGCAUUUGAAACUGGCAAACUUGAGUACUGGAGGGGGUGGUGGAAUUCCCGGUGUAGAGGUGAAAUUCGUAGAUAUCGGGAGGAAUACCGGUGGCGAAGGCGACCACCUGGCCAGAUACUGACGCUGAGGUGCGAAAGCGUGGGGAGCAAACAGGAUUAGAUACCCUAGUAGUCC
rnacentral:rRNA from 1 species